CGCGGAGGCUCGCGGGUGCAGAAGGGCUCCUGCACCCCCAGACACGCAGCUUCCGCGUGCAUUCUCCCGGAGCUCCUCUAACAACCCCACCUGCGGAGCAUCCCCGAGCGCACUGCACACCCAGGAGUCGUGGCGCCACUUGGCUGCUGGGAAGCUGUGGACCUUCGGUCUGGGGAAACUCGCGUCUAGGGAAGCCUGGAGAGUCACGGAGCAAGUGGCGACCCCGGGGCGGUGGGAUGAGCCGGCGAGCCAGCUGAGAGAUCCCAGGAGCGGGUCCAGUCACUGUGGGCGCCAUGGCAUCCUGGCUCUGGAGAAAGCUGCGUGGCAAGAGGCGGCUGGUGAUGGCAUUCUGCCUCUUGAUGACUCUGUCUGUGCUGGCUGUCACUCGCUUCCCCCUAGAGCGUCCAGCGACCAGCCCAGACCCUGGUCCCAUGGAGCCCCAGGAGGUAACUGGUGCCCUUGGCCCCCACAACCUGCAGGCUCUGAGCUCCAGCUGGAGGCAGCAGGCAAGAGACCUAGGGCUCUGGAGAGGCUGGGCCUUGCCUCGGAAUUCCAUCCCGGUGUGUGCUGAGGGGCAAGGCCACAGAGGGCCUGUGGACCGAAGAAGGAAGUCCCUGAGAGGGGACAGUAGGCAUCCAGGGAGGGUCAGGAGGGACAUGACUUUGGCAUCUCUAGGAAAUUGGAGACUCAGUACCCAGCGUCUUGUGCUCCUGAGGGAGGAUGAGGUCAGGGGUCCAGGACCCAAAGACCUGGGUCCCCCCUGGCAUGACAGUCUAAUCAGAGAGGCACAGAAUGAGACUGGCACCCUGGAUGGCACCCUCGCAGGGCAGGGCAUGAUGGUUUUACAGGCUUGGAGAUCUACUGCUGGACUGAGCGUCAGGCCCCACCAAGCAGAAGGCAGCAAUCUGCCAGAAUGGACUGGUGGGCGACUGGCAGGGCUCCCCACCCCAGUUGCAGGGGCUCCUCAGUGGCCAGGCUCUGUUGGUGAGCUACAGAGAUCUGUCUGGUGCGAGGCUGAGAGCCCUGCUCCCCGGACGGGCUUGAGGACCGGUGAACAGGUCCCCCCGUGGCUCACAGAGCACGACGUGCAAGUGCUCCAGCUCUUGGCCCAGGGGAAGGUGGUGGGCAAAACCAGGGUCCCUGGCCACGGGCAGGUGCUGCAGGUUGGCUUCUCCAGUGAUGGGGCCUUUCUGGACGUGUCUUCUGGGCUCAGCCAUCUCUGCUCCCAGGGGCUCUGCGGCCUGAUCAAGAGGCCCGGGGACCUGCUUGAGGUCCUGGCCUUCCAUGUGGACCGUGUGCUAGGGCUGCGCCGAAGCCUGCCUGCCGUGGCCCGGAACUUCCGGAGCUCCCUGCUGCCCUACCGAUACACAGAUGGCAGCACAAGGCCUGUCAUCUGGUGGGCGCCUGAUGUGCAGCACCUGGGAGACCCAGACGAUGAUCAGAACUCUUUGUCCUUGGGCUGGCUGCAGUACCAGGCCUUGCUGGCACGUGGCUGUGGCUGGCCAAGCCAGGCCCCCUGCCUGGGCCUCCACCACGCUGAAUGGGCUCGCCUGGCACUCUUCGACUUCCUGCUGCAGGUCCAUGAUCGCCUGGACCGCUACUGCUGUGGCUUCGAGCCCGAGCCAUCAGACCCCUGCGUGGAAGAGGGGCUCCGGGAGAAAUGCCGGAACCCGGGUGAGCUGCGACUGGUCCACAUCCUGGUCCGGAGCAGUGAUCCGUCCCAUCUGGUCUACAUCGAUAAUGCCGGCAACCUUCAACACCCUGAGGACAAGCUAAACUUUCGCCUGUUGGAGGGCAUAGAUGGGUUUCCUGAGUCUGCCGUGAAGGUCCUUGCGUCAGGGUGUCUACAGAAUAUGCUGCUCACGUCACUGCAGAUGGACCCAGUGUUCUGGCAAAGUCAAGGUGGGAGACAGGGGCUGAAGCAGGUUCUCCGGACCCUGGAGCGGCGUGGACAGGUGCUGCUGGAACACAUCCAGAAGCACAACCUGACGCUCUUCAAGGACAAGGAUGCAGGACUGUACUUGAAUGCAAGAGCUCUGGGUUCAGAUCUGGCCAUGGCCACUUAAUAACUGACAAAUGGUUAUUGAGCCCCGGCUGGAAUAAUGAGAAAUGUUUACUGAGUGAUGAUGCCAGACGCCGUGACAGUGGCUUUCAUGGAUCAAGGCACACCUAACCUCACCAGGACUCGAUGGCAUCAUUUGCCAGAGGACCAUUUAUACCACAGACCCCGCAUAACACGAAGGAACAAGGGCCUCACCUCCACGUGUCCAGGUCACCGCUGAUACACUGACGGAGAGGCUUGGCCGGGCUGCAGACAUCUGCUCCAUUUUUCUGCACCACAAGGAAGGGUUCAUUUACUUCAUUUGCUGUGAAGCCCAGGAUGGCUUAUACCUGACGGAUGUCACCCUCGACCCUCGCAGGAGGAGCACGGGUUUUUGCAAGAACCGUGCUAGUGGGGGAAGGGAGUGCACGGACUCUUGACCACUGGAUGAGAGAAAAGCCAUGCUCCCUGCUCGGCCUCUAUCAACAGCACCCUGGCAGUGAGGUCAUUUGAAACAAUGGAUUUUAAAUCUAAGAAGAGGAUUCCUCCCAAAGAUGAGGACUGAGAUAGGACAUGCUGUCAUCUGUUGGCACCUUGCACCAGAGUCCGUCACCAACUCUCUACCUGGGCUUCCAAGUCAAGUGCAUUAAUAAAGGGCAGAGUGGACACUAUUUCCACCCAGUAUCCAUGUACCUUUACUCUUCCUAAUAAAACCUCAGGUCUGUUCAGAUAGCCACCCCUCCUCCUGACACCCAUGAGGUGCAGAGAAAGCCAAGAUCUACCUCCCACCUUCAGAGGGCUGGCCAGCAGAGAGCAAGCUUCUGGGGGCUGGGUGCUGGCCCAGCGCCGCCUGCUACCUGAGCAGAACCAAGCAGAAUGGAGGGAAGGAGUCACAUUCCACGCUCCCACCCACCUGACAGAAAAGCAGGUACUGUCCCAUGACCACUGCCUGCCAUCUGCUGACUGGCCUGACAACAAGGAUGGCACGAUGGAGGAGAGAUAGGAAGGACCCCGGUGGCAUCUCAGAGCUCUAUGACUUGGACUUCCUGCUGUAAACUUUCCUUAUUAUGGAAGCUGGUGUGGGCUGGGGUUUUGGUUUCUCUAAACUAAGAAUAAUUUAACUUUGUUGUUGUGCAUGAAGCAAACACAUGGGCGUCUGACCUGUGCCUUCUGUUUCUGAGCUGUGCUACUUGGCAUCAGUUUCCCCAUAACCCUUCUAACUUGGGUAAACAAAUCCCUCCAAGAAAUUCUUGUAUUAGAAAUUAGAAAAUAUGAGGGGUGCCUGGGUGGCUCUGUCGG